GACGAACGCUGGCGGCGUGCUUAACACAUGCAAGUCGAACGGAGUGGCGAACGGGUGAGUAACACGUGGGUGACCUGCCCUGCACUUCGGGAUAAGCCUGGGAAACUGGGUCUAAUACCGGAUAGUGUGGGAGGGGCCCGCGGCCUAUCAGCUUGUUGGUGGGGUAAUGGUCUACCAAGGCGGCGACGGGUAGCCGGCCUGAGAGGGUGGACGGCGACAGUGGGACUGAGAGACGGCGCAGAGACCUACGGGAGGCAGCGGAGGGGAAAAUAGCACAAUGGGCGGAAGACUGAUGCAGCGACGCCGCGUGGGGGAUGACGGCGUUCGGGUUGUAAACUCCUUUCAACAUCGAGGCGGUAGAUGGAGAAGAAGCACCGGCUAACUACGUGCCAGCAGCCGCGGUAAUUC
rnacentral:rRNA from 1 species